CACACACACACACACACACACACACAGCUAAUGCCAGUGCAUUUCCUAAGGAAUUCAGAGGGUGUGAGAAAAGCCUUUCGUGUUCACAACCAAGAGAACGAAACACACAUUAGCUAGAGUGCAGGUCUGAGGAGAAAGAGGAAAAAAAACAGAGGCUUUUCUAGGGCCCCACUAUCACAACAAAUGAUUUCAAGACCAAAUCCUUUUCACACCAAGAGUUUGGUCUCCUACCAGAUUUUGCGGGUGGAGACUCACAGUGGUGGGAGUAGGAAGUGGAGAGGUGUCAGCAGUUACCAGGUUGAGGAUGACCUCCAUGGCGGGGAGACACAUGCACACGGCCUGGACUGGACUUUUGUUUGGUCUGUCUGUCUGUCUAUCGGUUUGUGUUUCCCUCGGGAGACGACCACAGCCGGGUGAGAGGUGACGAGCGUGGCCCUAGGAGAGCACUCAUCACUCAGGACACUUCUCCCAAACAAAGUCCACUUGACUCAAAAUCCACCGGACAAAGACUCUAAUUGACAACAAGGAAGUAGAGACUCUUAGGAAUUACUGUUGGCUCGAUUGAAUAUCCAGAAUCCAUAGAGUGCCGGGUACCUCCAGCAGUGAACCAUGACUAUUGAUAGCCGCAGAGUCUAGGGAGUGUUGUGCUGCUGGUUCACAGAGCAGUCGCUCCUCAAAGCCCAUGACCACGCUUCAGUGCCAACACACGCUUCGCAGUACACAGCAACAGGCAGAGAGCCUAUGGAGCACACAUAUAUGCGCUUCGAUAAGCAUGACUCCCACAGACAGCGUGCAUUCGUGGGAGAGCAAGGACUUCUCUGGAGCAAAGGGUCCGUCUGAUGUGGGUUUGGGGUGACAGAGCAGAGGCGGUUAAACAGAUGAAGACUUGCAGGGUUGGAUGGUUAAAAGAAGGAAGAGUUUACUGUGAAGUUAAGUGUUCAAAGAGUCCGUUGGGGAUAAAAUCCUCAGAGGGUGAAAAGAGAGGCAGAGACCCAGAGGACGGAUGUGAGGGGAGCGAGGGAGCAGACAGCAAAAAAAAGAGCCCACCAGGAGCUGUCACUGAGAGGGAGCGAGAGAGGCAGCUAAGGAAAGAGGGGUUGUGAGAAAGCUUUGUGAAGGGAGGAGGGGGGGGCUUUUCUUCUGUUGGAGUUUCUAGGCCAGCUCAGCUCCAAAACAGGGGCUAACUCAGGCAUAAAGAAAGGGAGAAAAAUCUUCCACUCCCGCCUUUUAAUUAUUACACAGUAUGAUUGUCGCAACCAAUCAGUUUCCCAGGUUAUCAUGCUGUUAUGAAUCACUUUCCACUGCCUGUGUGCGCUAACAAACGGGGCUAUACCAAAUGUUACUGCCAACCAAUAAAACACACAAAAAUGCC